GACAUAGGUGGCGAACGUUAUCCGGAAUUAUUGGGCGUAAAGGAUGCGUAGAUGGUAGAAUAAGUUAUUGGUCGAUGCCAAACUCAAUUUGGCGGAAGCUGGUAAUACUGUUCAACUAGAGGACAGGAGAGGUUGAUGGAAUUCUGCGUGGAGCGGUGAAAUGCGUUGAUCUGCAGAGGAACACCAAAAAAGGCGAAGGCAGCUCGCUGGGACGGUACUGACGCUGAGGUGCGAAAGCGUGGGGAGCGAACAGG
rnacentral:rRNA from 1 species